rnacentral:rRNA from 1 species
GACGAACCGUGCGAACGUUGUUCGGAAUAACUGGGCUUAAAGGGAGCGUAGGCGGGCUAACAAGUCUGGGGUGAAAUCCCGCGGCUCAACCGUGGAACUGCCCUUAGAUACUGUCGGCCUCGAGGGAGAUAGGGGCAUGCGGAACUAACGGUGGAGCGGUGAAAUGCGUUGAUAUCGUUAGGAACUCCGGUGGCGAAAGCGGCGUGCUGGAUCUCUUCUGACGCUGAGGCUCGAAAGCUAGGGGAGCAAACGGG